UACGUAGGGGGCCAGCGUUGUCCGGAAUCAUUGGGCGUAAAGAGCGUGUAGGCGGCCAGAAAAGUCCGCUGUGAAAACUCGAGGCUCAACUUCGAGCUGUCGGUGGAAACUUUCUGGCUAGAGUCCGGAAGAGGAGAAUGGAAUUCCUGGUGUAGCGGUGAAAUGCGCAGAUAUCAGGAAGAACACCCGUGGCGAAGGCGGUUCUCUGGGACGGUACUGACGCUGAGACGCGAAAGCGUGGGGAGCGAACAGG
rnacentral:rRNA from 1 species